rnacentral:rRNA from 1 species
GACGAACCGUGCGAACGUUGUUCGGAAUCACUGGGCUUAAAGGGCGCGUAGGCGGGCUGCCGAGUCCGGGGUGAAAUCCUCCCGCUCAACGGGAGAACGGCCCCGGGUACUGGCGGCCUCGAGGCGGGUAGGGGCGUGCGGAACACUGGGUGGAGCGGUGAAAUGCGCAGAUAUCAGGAGGAACACCCGUAGCGAAGGCGGCACUCUGGGCCGAUACUGACACUGAGGAGCGAAAGCGUGGGGAGCGAACAGG